GUAUUCUCUUAUUCGCACCAGCACAAGAAACGAACCAAAUCAAUGUCACAGCCGUUUCUUAUUCUUGGAAAUCAAUGGAAUUGACCACCUCACAGACCGUUUCUUCUUUUUGACGAUCAAUAGAAUUGAAUCUCAGUUAUAAAGGAUACACAGAAAUGAAAGAAUUCUUCAAUUUCAUCGAUUAUUUGUUGGCGAGUCCUGUAAAAGCAUCAAAAUCACUCUCUACAGCUAAAAAUUAAGAGUUUCGAAGUAGAUAGUAGAGAUUAAGGUGCAACUUCCGUCUAAGUUGAUUUUAAGCCAAGUGUUUUCCUGUAAAUCGAAAAUCCGUCUAAGUUUAUCUGGUCUUCGUCCCCAAAAUGGGGUUGCAGUUCAAAGUUAAAAAUCAAACCUUCCUUCGAAAUUUCAAAUCGGUUGAUAAGAUGAAGGAAUUAACCAACCACAUCGAGUUUCCUCUGGAGGAGGCCUUGGAGCAGAUGAUGGUGUGGUGGCCAGAGGAACUGAAGCAAUGAGAUUAUUUAGUGGCGGUAGGGGUAUAACCUGCAAUAUUUAACAUAUGUAACUUAAGGGGAAGAUAUCAGGCAUCUUAACACAUUAUUUCUGUUAAGAACCGGCAAUCUGCAGCAACUUAUAGUGAAAUCGCAUGCACUACCGGCAUAAAAUCCCUCCUUCCACAGGCAACUUAUGAAAAAGUUUGUCAUCAUCACUUGCAUAUGUAACCUUAAUUAUAAUUUUUUUUAGGCAGACAUGUGAAGCCAUGGAUUCAUAUUUUCCAGAUCGGAUUUUGAAAAUUUAACAUUACUGUGAAAAGCCCAUCACCAAAUGAAAAAUUAUUAUUCCGUUUACAA